GCACCCUAUCUUUUCUCCUUGACUUAAUUUAACCCACCAGAUGCAUUUUUUCCUUAGGACAAAUCUCCUUUUUUUGGAGAUCAUGGCAUCGCAGGGUUUAGUUCUUUUAUUUUUACUUUGUUUUUAACACUUGCUUCCCUUCAUAUGCAAAAAUGAAAUAUGAAGCCUUCAUUUAAUCUCUGCAGUUCAUCUCAUUUCAAAUGUUUAUGGAAGAAGCACUUCAUUGAAAGUAGAGCUGUGAAUAGUCUGCCAUAGGAAUAUUUCUGUCUACAUGCUUUCUCAUUCAAGGAUUCGUCAGCAUGCUACAGAAGCUACAUUUUUGACAGCGGGUGUCCCGUUUUUAUCUGCCACUCUUUAUUUCAUGGAGUUGUACCAAUCCUAUGAACACAGGCCUGUGAUAUGGAACCAGUAGGCUGUUUGAACUUUUGAAAUUUUAUGUGGGAUUGAUGGUGGUGACAAGGCAUGAAAGGCAAGUAUGAGCAAGAACAGGAAAAAGUCCGUGCAGAGACUUGGUGGUGCAUAAUGGAUAUUUUUCAACUUGGCAAGAUGUGUCUCUCAAUCCUGUGGCUUUGGUGAGAGAGCAUGCAGACAGAAAAGACAGCAAAUAAUGUAUAACCGUUUUUUUGUAUUUGAAGGACAUCCACAUUUGUUGGAAGACUGUACCUGAGUUUUGUUUUUAGAUAAGCCCCAUUAAUUGAAUGUGUUAAGUAAAAGGAUGCUUGCAUUCCCCUUACCCCUUUGUCAACCACUAUGAAUGCUGUAUGGUGUGUGUUCUUUUCUGUUACUGCACUGCAAGUGUGGUCAUGUGAACUGAAGCCAGUGGGUUGAGAACAAGAACUGAGCUUGUGCUGUGCUUUGCAGGAGUACUUGGAAACAGAGAUCACCAGGGAGCUUGGGGGAGUCACAAAGAAGGGUGGAAGUUCUAAAGAAUGCUGUUUGAUGUAGCCCUGUGUCCUGUGCUUGGAUCCUUUUUAUAAGAGUUUCCCAUGCUGAAAAUUAUUAAGUAAAACUGAUUUACAUAAUGAAAAACAGUAAAUUGCAAUUUGGUUUACUGUGGAAGAAUAAAAGAAAAUUUACCAAGUCUAUGGACUGAGAAAGUGAUCCUGGAUGAAUUGACAUCUGACUUGGAUCUUCCAAGAUGCAGAAGUUUGAUUGGCUAAGACAUUCCAGGCAAAAGUGCAAUGUGAGCAAAGUUCUAAAGACAAGAAAAAUGUAUAAACAAGAAGCUGUAUGUUGCUAGGAUGAAUUUUGAGGCACAAAAUUGAGAAAGGUUAUCAGGGCAAAUCACAAAUAGAAGGAGCAAGAUCCAAAGACCAGGGAGAAGACAUUGGCUGAAAAAGGUUGGGUUGUAAUUGGCUCCAGUGCAACAAGAAAAUGCAGGGCAAAUUCUCAAGGGGCAUGAAGAAACAGAUGUCUGUGAACACCCGGGCACCGGAGGGACCCACACCAGGCACCUUAAGGCUCAGAAGAACAGAAUAAUUCUUAUUCCAGAAGAAUGAUGUUUCUUAUACACCUGCCAAACUUGGUACUUAUUGAUGGAGAGAAUAAGAGUAGCACUGAGCCCACAGCUUUUCAAUACUACUUGCCAACCUGCUGAAUGGAGACCUGCAGAACUAAUGGUAUACGUAUUUUAUACAUUUAUUUAUAUAAAAAAGUCAAUACUCAAAAAAUAAGAUUGUAAAUAUAGAUGAUGCCCUGGUUUUGGAAAAUCUUCUUGGCCAGACUGAGAAGCUUUAGUUUUUUUAUAGAUAAAUGAAAGGUCAUUUGCCAUUGACAUCUCAAUAAGGAACCAAGGAACCUCAGACCUAAGCUUCUACUAACAAUUCUAGUCCAAAGAAUGUAGUUUAGGCAGGCCAUAUUUCCUUAGGCCAAAUGUACAUAAAGCUGAAUUUCUAAUUAAAAAAUAAAUGGAGAAAUGGUAUGUUUUAACAGUAUUUCCACUCCAGGAUUUCUUUACUUCGUAAGCUAUAUCAUCACUGUCACCUGCUUGAUUCGUAAGCAUCCAGGUUUGGUGCCAUUUUUCAGGAAUAGAGCUAUAGCAUGAGAUAAGGUAUCCUGUGCUCAGGCUUCUCCAUUUAGUAGGCAAGAAAACUACCUCUUCCAUCCUAAAGUUCAGGAUUAUUUUAAAUUAAAAGUAAUAAAAAAAUCCAGAGUGCCUUGAAUUCCUCAGUAGAAAUAUGCUUCGUAGGUGUGAAGUCCAUAAAUUUUUUGUGCCUCCUUUUCUAUAGCCUAACAGCUGGCACGGAAGAGAAAAGGAUUGACUUAGAUACAAGUUAGGGUCACCGUGGACAACUGAGUGGUCAUCUGAGCAGUGGUUUCCAAAAUACUUUGGAUACUAAAGGAUAAGAAUGCAGAACUGCCACUGCUAAUGCGGAUAUCAGCAUAACAACAAAGAACAGCAAUCAUGCAGGUUUUGUUGGAUUCUUGCUGACUGAGAAUCAGAUGAUGUUGCCAAGCCUUAUAACCACUUGGUAAAGGGAGGCGUCUUAAGUGUUGGAACAUGGACUAGCUCACAGGCCAACAUAUGCAAAUACAAUAUUAGAGCUGAACUGCUCCUUAGGACUCCAGCUGCCAGAAGCAGCCUGCGUGCGGGCCACAGAGGAGCACAGUGAGAUGGAGGCAAGAGACAAACACACACACCCACUCGCCUGGAGGAACUUUGAAUCCUUGAAUGCAAAAGAUUCCACUUCAAGUGAAAUAAUAAUCCUUCCUUUAACUGAGUACAGUGAAAAGAACCAUCACCACCACCACCACCACCACAGCAAGACGGUACCAGAUGCAAACCUCAUGUUUAUCAGAUUUCAUCCAGGCAUGGGAGCAAACACAACUGCGAACCUGCAAAAAGAUGAAGGGAGGAACCUAACGUCUGACUCUUCCUUCAGGUGUUUCUUCCAGGAAGCACUCAGAGGGAAAGUCACUAUCCUGCACGAUGAAGUAUUACUCACAUUUUCUGACACAUGUGCAUCUAUCUGAAGACUUAACUAGCCUGAACUGGAACUAUAUACUGCAGGAUUUAUCAUAAAGUUUUCAGGGCAAAGUGGAGCUACAAACACAGUAAGAAGCAGAGAAAAAUUCCUUUGGGCAGCAGAGACUAACAGAAAAGCUAUCAACUAUUAACUUGAGCUCUCUCAAGGAGGGAAGCCCUUUAGUCAAGCAUUCUCAACUGAAGACUCUGCAGAAUGGAGCACCCUCAAGUCCCAGUUAUUAAAAAUAAAACUUACUUUACUCAGAAGUAAUAAAAGA